UACGUAGGCAGCAAGCGUUGUUCGGAAUUACUGGGCGUAAAGAGUGUGUAGGCGGUGCUCCAAGUCUGGUGUGAAAUCUCCCGGCUUAACUGGGAGGGUGCAUUAGAAACUGGAAUGCUAGAGGAUGGGAGAGGUAGGCGGAAUUCCUGGUGUAGCGGUGAAAUGCGUAGAUAUCAGGAGGAACACCUGUGGUGUAGACAGCUUACUGGACCAUUCUGACGCUGAGGCGCGAAAGCGUGGGGAGCAAACAGG
rnacentral:rRNA from 1 species